CUUAGCUUCAUAUCUGGGCCCAUUUUCAUAAAGAAGUCUAAUCUUGUUUUGUCGAAUAAACUGACUUUGCUGACUAGUUUUGUGAUGUUAGU